GACAGCAUGGGACAGACCACACAGGGAGCCAGGCUGAGGGGCUGGGGCUCCAUCCUGGAAGUGCUGGGGGCCAUGGGAAGGCAUGAGCAGGGGAGGGGGUCAGCUCUCAGUACAGAAAGACCCCUGGGUGCUGUGUGGGAGACAGACUGGAGUGGGGAGGCCUGGAGGCCAGGAGGCCAAGUUGGAGGCUGAGAUGAGAGUCCAGGGAGAGGAGCUGAGGCCUGGCCAGGGACAGGAGGGACAAGGCUGAGGACUGAUGGGCUGUGGGGGAGGGGAGGGAGGGGAGGGUCUGGACGGUGAUGGAAACAUGGCUGCUUCAAUCCCCUCCUCCAAUGGAGGCCGCAGUCCAUAGGGAGGCUUCUACUGGCUUCUUCCUGUUCCCAAACAUGGUAGGCCAGGUCCUACUUCUGGGUCUUUCCAAAGGCUAUUCCCAAUACACAAUUACAAUGAUGACAACCAUCAAAGCCACUACUGACUGGGGGGCGGGGUGCUGCUCUGUAGCUGUUAAGUCAUUGAUCCCUGGCAACCCUCGGGACUGGUACCAUCCCCUUUAUACAGAUGAGAAAAUCAAGGGACAGAGAGGCUAAGGCCACACAGCCAGGAAGUGGGCAGCUGGGAUUCGAACCCAGGAGGCCGGACUCCAGAGCCCUUGAUUACCGCCUGUGUGUUUUGCUGCCUUGUUCCCGAACGAACCCCACUGGCCAUGACAGACGGGGUAGGAGGGGGUGCGCACCCGCGGGGCAUCCUCACCCACCUGGACAGCCCCUCUUUGCAGCUGUGACCUCCCCUCAUCACUCAAAGACACCAUCGGGAUGACAGCGUCUGCCCUUCCCCACCAGGAGUCCCGGCAACCAACCUGCAUCUCUGUUCACAGUUCACCUCGCCGGUUAUCCUGGAAACGGCCCUGCUCACGGCCAAGGCCAACCCCGGCCAGAGGCAGGCCCCAGGCCCCAUUCUCCAGCAUCACGUCCCGGUACAGCUCCCUCUGGCCAGGCCCCAGCCAGCCCCACUCCUCCAGGGUGAAGUCCACAGCCACGUCCUUGAAGGUCACUGAUUCCUGCAAGGGUCGAUUUUACAUGGUGGAGGGGCUCGUGCCCCCAGAGCUCUGGGGCAGGAGACGUCAUGGGUCAAGCGCCCACUACUGUCCCCUGGGCCGGAACAUUCUAAUUCUGAAGAUUUGAGGUGACUGAAUCACACUGGCCCAUGGGGACAGAAACCACCUAGGGCAGCCGCUAGCCCAUAGGCGUCUUGGUGUAACGCAGAAUGAGGAGCCCUUCCACGCGACUCUUUAGUGCCAUCUGUUGGAGAGUCAUUGUAAUACACCAAUUAUUUUAGUAUA